rnacentral:rRNA from 1 species
GAUGAACGCUGGCGGCGUGCCUAAUACAUGCGAGUCGAGCGAACGGACGAGAAGCUUGCUUCUCUGAUGUUAGCGGCGGACGGGUGAGUAACACGUGGAUAACCUACCUAUAAGACUGGGAUAACUUCGGGAAACCGGAGCUAAUACCGGAUAAUAUUUUGAACCGCAUGGUUCAAAAGUGAAAGACGGUCUUGCUGUCACUUAUAGAUGGAUCCGCGCUGCAUUAGCUAGUUGGUAAGGUAACGGCUUACCAAGGCAACGAUGCAUAGCCGACCUGAGAGGGUGAUCGGCCACACUGGAACUGAGACACGGCCCAGACUCCUACGGGAGGCAGCAGUAGGGAAUCCUCCGCAAUGGGCGAAAGCCUGACGGAGCAACGCCGCGUGAGUGAUGAAGGUCUUCGGAUCGUAAAACUCUGUUAUUAGGGAAGAACAUAUGUGUAAGUAACUGUGCACAUCUUGACGGUACCUAAUCAGAAAGCCACGGCUAACUACGUG